UGAGGAAUAUUGCUCAAUGGGCGAAAGCCUGAAGCAGCGACGCCGCGUGCGCGAUGAAGGUCUUCGGAUCGUAAAGCGCUUUUGAGAGGGACGAGAUAGGACGGUACCUCUUGAAUAAGUCACGGCUAACUACGUGCCAGCAGCCGCGGUAAUACGUAGGCAGCAAGCGUUGUUCGGAGUUACUGGGCGUAAAGAGUGCGUAGGCGGUUUUCUAAGUUCGGUGUGAAAUCUCCCGGCUUAACUGGGAGGGUGCGCCGAAGACUGGGAAGCUGGAGUGUGGGAAAGGCAGGCGGAAUUCCUGGUGUAGCGGUGAAAUGCGUAGAUAUCAGGAGGAACACCGGCGGUGUAGACGGCUUGCUAGACCAUAACUGACGCUGAGGCACGAAAGCGUGGGUAGCAAACA
rnacentral:rRNA from 1 species